GGAGGGGUGGCCGAGCGGUUGAAGGCACCGGACUUGAACUCCGGCAGAGCGCUCACGCGUUCUCGUGGGUCCGAAUCCCACCCCCUCCGCCA
rnacentral:tRNA from 1 species